rnacentral:lncRNA from 1 species
CUGUGGCUGCGUGUUCGACCGGCCAGCCAAGGAUCUCCAACAAGCAUGUGCGCCUACUCUCCUUGCCCUUAAUUCCUGCCACAACAGCAGCUCCUGUGUAGUGUGAGCCAGAGAACUACUACACUAAUCAUGUUCCUGGUAUUUUCUCACUCUUGCUUCACAGACGAUGUAUUGUAGUUAGUUCAAAGAAAUUCCAUUACAUAUUUUGCACAUUUCCUGAUUGGUGACCAUCCAUUUUAUAUGAUGUUCUUCACAUGCAAGCGUUGAGUGUUUUUUCCUUUCAAGUUUUUGUCUCUUGCUCUAUUUCAUGAAAUACAUUCCUCUUCUCAUUCCAUCAUUUAGCCUUGUUGAUUACUUACGAUUAGUGAUUACAUGCAAUCAUCCUCCUUAAAUUAGAAUAGUUAAUUAGUUAUGCCAGGUUGCUACAUUUCUAUCUCCUUUUUGCCAAAAUAAAAUUAAAAUAUGAUGGCAUGUUAUUGACCCAGCCUCGCCGUCCGCUGUGGCAUCACCCUUCUUGUCCACCACCCUAACUCCGUCGCGCUUCAGGCCUAGCAUGUGACAGUGGUGCCGCGAGGAUUUGCUGCCGUGGGAGGAGGGGCCCGACCCAGAUGGCGGCCACCAGUAGGUCACACACUUAUUCAGCUCGCCGUCUGGUUACUCUGAUGGCUUCUCUAAGGUAUCUUCUCGUGC